rnacentral:rRNA from 1 species
CCUACGGGAGGCAGCAGUGAGGAAUAUUGGUCAAUGGGCGCAAGCCUGACCCAGCAACGCCGCGUGAAGGAAGAAGGCCCUCGGGUUGUAAACUUCUUUUGUCAGGGACGAAACAACUGACGCUACCUGCCGACUAAGCCACGGCUAAGUACGUGCCAGCAGCCGCUGUAAUACGUAGGUGGCAAGCGUUAUCCGGAUUUACUGGGUGUAAAGGGCGUGUAGGCGGGAGAGCAAGUCAGAUGUGAAAUUCCAUGGCUCAACCCAGGAAGUGCAGUUGAAACUGUUUUUCUUGAGUGAUGGAGAGGCAGGCGGAAUUCGGGGUGUAGCGGUGAAAUGCGUAGAUAUACGGAGGAACACCAGUGGCGAAGGCGGCCUGCUGGACAUUAACUGACGCUGAGGCGCGAAAGCGGGGGGAGCAAACAGGAUUAGAUACCCCUGUAGUC